CAGUCCGACGGAGCGACGCCGCGUGAAGGAUGAAGGCCCUCGGGUUGUAAACUUCUGUCACGAGUUAUGAACGAUCUGCGGCGAAUAGCCGUAGGUUUUGACAAAGGCUCGAAAGGAAGCACUGGCUAACUCUGUGCCAGCAGCCGCGGUAAUACAGAGAGUGCAAACGUUGUUCGGAAUCACUGGGCUUAAAGCGCACGUAGGCGGCAUUGUAAGUGUCGGGUGAAAUCCCACGGCUCACCCGUGGAACUGCCCGGCAGACUGCAGUGCUCGAGUAUGGUAGGGGAGAGCGGAACUCCUGGUGGAGCGGUGAAAUGCGUAGAUAUCAGGAGGAACACCGGUGGCGAAGGCGGCUCUCUGGUCCAUAACUGACGCUGAGGUGCGAAAGCUAGGGUAGCGAACGGGAUUAGAUACCCCGGUAGUCCUAGCCGUAAACGAUGGGCACUAGCUUGGGGUCUCCCUGUGUGAUCCCAGGUGAAGCUAAAGUAAUAAGUGCCCCGCCUGGGGANUAUGGUCGCAAGGCUGAAACUCAAAGGAAUUGACGGGGGCUCACAC
rnacentral:rRNA from 1 species